rnacentral:rRNA from 1 species
GUCUGUGGCCACGCCACCCUUAGCAGGCCCGAUCCCGUCUGAUCUCGGAAGCUAAGCAGGGUUGGGCCUGGUUAGCACUUGGAUGGGAGACCACCUGGGAAGACCAGGUGCUGUAGGCA